rnacentral:rRNA from 1 species
UACGGGGGGGCAAGCGUUGUUCGGAAUUACUGGGCGUAAAGGGCGCGUAGGCGGCCUGCUAAGUCGGACGUGAAAUCCCUCGGCUCAACCGAGGAACUGCGUCCGAUACUGGUGGGCUUGAAUCCGGGAGAGGGAUGUGGAAUUCCAGGUGUAGCGGUGAAAUGCGUAGAUAUCUGGAGGAACACCGGUGGCGAAGGCGGCAUCCUGGACCGGUAUUGACGCUGAGGCGCGAAAAGCUAGGGGAGCAAACGGG